AACGUAGGAGACAAACGUUAUCCGGAGUUACUGGGCGUAAAGGGCGUGUAGGUGGUUUCGUAAGUCUGGCGUGAAAUUUUUCGGCUUAACCGGGAAAGGUCGUCGGAUACUGCGGGACUGGAGGACGGUAGAGGCGUGUGGAAUUCCGGGUGUAGUGGUGAAAUGCGCAGAUAUCGGGAGGAACACCUAUGGCGAAGGCAGCUCGCUGGGACGUUACUGACGCUGAGACGCGAAAGCGUGGGGAGCAAACAGG
rnacentral:rRNA from 1 species